GAAAUUCUAUCUUAGUCAUAUGAAGGGGGACGCCGGUGAGAAAACGUACUUUUGAAUAAAAAUCUGAAUUUUUUCUAAAUUGGAGUCAUAAGACAUUCUAAUGGCAGCAGUUGACACGGUACAGUGGUGUAGUGGUUAGCACUCAAGCCUCGCAGACAGAUGCCUCUGGGUUAAACUCCACCCAGUGGUGCCUCUGUGUUAGGUGGUGUAGGCUAAGCCUGCAUGGGCUUCACUCCAUACUUGUAAAAGUAAUGAAAAAAACUUUUUUUAAACUUCCAAGUCUGAAAUAAAUGCCAAAAUAUUUUGCAAAUGUCAUGAAUUCUAUCUUGAGUCAUCUGAAGGGGGACGACGGUGAGAAAACCUACUUUUGAAUAAAAAUCCGAAUUUUUUCUAAAUUGAAGUCAUAAGACAUUCUAAUGGCAGCAGUUGACACGGUACAGUGGUGUAGUGGUUAGCACUCUCGCCUCCCACACAGAUGCUUCGGGUUCAACUCCACCCAGUGGCACCACUGUGUUAGGUGGUGUAGGCUAAGCCUGCAUGGGUUUAGUCCAUACUUGUAAAAGUAAUGAAAAAAACUUUUUUUAAACUUCCAAGUCUGAAAUAAAUGCCAAAAUAUUUUGCAAAUGUCAUGAAAUUCUAUCUUGAGUCAUCUGAAGGGGGACGACGGUGAGAAAACCUACUUUUGAAUAAAAACUCCGAAUUUUUUCUAAAUUGAAGUCAUAAGACAUUCUAAUGGCAGCAGUUGACACGGUACAGUGGUGUAGUGGUUAGCACUCUCGCCUCCCAGAGAGAUGCUUCAGGUUCAAUUCCACCCAGUGGCGCCUCUGUGUUAGGUGGUUUAGGCUAAGCCUGCAUGGGGUUCAGUCCAUACUUGUAAAAGUAAUGGAAAAAACUUUUUUUAAACUUCCAAGUCUGAAAAGAAUCCCCAAAUAUUUUACAAGAAGUCAUUAAAUUCUAUCUUUAGUCAUAUGAAGGGGGACGACGGUGAAAAAACGUACUUUUGAAUAAAAAUCAGAAUUUUUUCUAAAUUGGAGUCAUAAGACAUUCUAAUGGCAGCAGUUUAUACGGUACAGUGGUGAAAUUCUAUCUUUAGUCAUAUGAAGGGGGACGACGGUGAGAAAACCUACUUUUGAAUAAAAAUGUGAUUUUUUUCUAAAUUGGAGUCAUAAGACAUUCUAAUGGCAGCAGUUGACACGGUACAGUGGUGUAGUUGUUAGCACUCUUGCCUCCCAGACAGAUGCCUCGGGUUCAACUCCACCCAGUGGCGCCAUUGUGUUAGGUGGCGUAGGCUAAGCCUGCAUGGGAUUCACUCCAUACUUGUAAAAGUAAUGGAAAAAAGUUUUUUAAAACUUCAGCAUCUGAAAAGAAUCCCCAAAUAUUUUGCAAAAAGUCAUGACAUUCUUUCUUUAGUCAUAUGAAGGGGGACGCCGGUGAGAAAACGUACUUUUGAAUAAAAAUCUGAAUUUUUUCUAAAUUGGAGUAAUUAGACAUUCUAAUGGCAGCAGUUGACACGGUACAGUGGUGUAGUGGUUAGCACUCUCGCCUCCCAGACAGAUGCCUCGGGUUCAACUCCACCCAGUGGAUCCUCUGUGUUAGGUGGUGUAGGCUAAGCCUACAUGGGAUUCACUCCACACUUGUAAAAGUAAUGGAACAUUUUUUUUUAAAACUUCAGUAUCUGAAAAGAAUCCCCAAAUAUUUUGCAAAAAGUCAUGAAAUUCUAUCUUUAAUCAUAUGAAGGGGGACGCCGGUGAGAAAACGUACUUUUGAAUAAAAAAAGAAAUUUUUUCUAAAUUGGAGUCAUAAGACAUUCUAAUGGCAGCAGUUGACACGGUACAGUGGUGUAGUGAUUAGCACUCUCGCCUCGCAGACAGAUGCCUC
ensembl:lncRNA